rnacentral:rRNA from 1 species
UACGGGGGGGGCAAGCGUUGUUCGGAAUUACUGGGCAUAAAGGGUGCGUAGGCGGCUUGUUAAGUCAGGGGUGAAAGUUUUCGGCCCAACCGGAAAAUUGCCUUUGAUACUGGCGAGCUCGAGUGCGUGAGGGGUAACCGGAACGAGUGGUGUAGCGGUGAAAUGCGUAGAUAUCACUCGGAAGGCCAAAGGCGAAGGCAGGUUACUGGUACGCAACUGACGCUGAGGCACGAAAGCGUGGGGAGCAAACAGG